rnacentral:misc_RNA from 1 species
GAACGCACCUUGCACCCUUUGGCAUUCCGAAGGGUAUGCUCGUUUGAGUGUCAUUGUACUCUCACACUCCCAGUUUUUGGAUUGGGAGCGGUGGACUUGGGUGUUGCUGCUUUGCUGUGGCUCGCCUCAAAUGGAGUAGUGCAACUCUCGGUUGGACUUAGUACGGCGUGAUAAGUAUCUUCGCCGGCGCCUCACUCGAGGGUGGCCGAUCGGGAGCUCUGUGCUUCGAACCGUCUUCGGACACUCUCUGACAACUUGACCUCAAAUCGAGUAGGACUACCCGCUGAACUUAAG